CUGAGGGGAACAAGUUGCUGGAGUUGGGUGCCGCUUCCCGCCGCUCAACUCCCGGGAUGGGGGCGGGGGAGAGGGAGGGGGAGCGCGCGGGUGCCUGUGCGCGCGAGGCACGCCAGUAGAAUUCGAGCUGCUGGCUGGGAAAGUUGCCUCCUAUGGCCAACUAAAAGACGCAGAUUCUUGUAUCUGAUCAACUGUGGCCAAUCUGGAAAAGGCCAAGUAGAGUCAGAAUUAAUACUUGGAUGGGAGGCCAUCAGGAGAAGGAGUUUGCAGAAGAAGGCAGUAAUCCAUUUAUGUAGUGUCGUCAAGAAAACUGGCUUAUUUAUAGGUUAUUAUAAGGAUAAAACAAGGAAGAACCAUUGCACUGUUUUGAGCUCACUGGAGAAAGAGCCAACAUAAAUGCAAGUAAUAAAUCCACUAAAAAAAAACUUCUCUUCUUGAGAUUGGCUGUCUUUGUGCACUUUUUUCCAUGCUCCAGUCAACUGAAGAUUACUUGUUUUGCAUUAAAAUGAUUGAUGUUGUGUAUACUGGCUUGCUUCUUCAUUCUUGUGUAGUCUUUUAUGUCCUCUGGUUUAACGAAUAAAGUCAUAUUUAAGUUAAAGAUAUUAUACUUAAUCAGCUACAUGGAUUGAUUCAAGUAAUGUCUAUUUUUAUGCCUAUCUAUAAUUUAUUGCAAAUUCCUAAAGAUUCAUUAUUGCAAGGUGGAGGAAAGGGAACAAUCAAGCAAAAAUUGGGUUGUUACUAUAGUGCAGUCUUCCCUAACCCAACCUGAUCUCUGUAUGUUAAGACAUCUGUAGGAAUCUAUCUGAGAAAAUUGUUCUACUAUAUACUCAUUCUCGUGUCUGAAAGUUUUGUAUGCUUCCAUUUUCCAAACUGUCCUGUUUUUUAUAACCUUCAACUAGCAAAGAAUGUGUACAAAAUCUGGGACCCAUUAUUCCUACGUAAUUGAAAUUUCAAGGAACUUCACACCAAUUGCAUUUGUAAAGUUGUGGCUUCUACAACAUGGUUAACCAUGGUCCUGCGAUCCUGAUUUCCAGUGCACCCUAUCAGUUUCCCACAAGAAAUGUCAAUGGGAAAGCCAGCAGGAAUUCAUAGGUCAUUCCUGCUCUCACUGCUUUUUUGCCUGUCCAUAGUCAUUCUGUUUCUCUGUUUACGUAAGGAAAUAUCUCUGAAAAGGUGACUCAAUGAAAUAGAUGGGUUGUCUAGUUUUACUUAAUAUUCACCUCAGAGAUGGUAUUCAGCAAGUUCUGACCAGUUCUGGAGAAGCAGUAGUGGAAAUUUUGAGUAGUUCAGAGAAUUAAUAAGUACCACCACAGACUGGUCCCACCCCCAUCUAUUCUCUGCCUCCCGAGUCCCAGCUGAUAAGGAGGAAAUGGGGAUUUUGUAGUAACCUCCUACCACGGCCACCAAGCCAUGCCACGGCCACCAAGCCAUGACCAGAGAACUGGUGGUAAAAAAAUUUGAAUCCCACCACUGAUUCACCUUAUUUCAAAUGUUUUGUUUAUUUAAUGCUGUUUUCACUUUAACAUACAGCAAGUUAUGUAAAUCUGUUACAAAAUGGCUGGGUUGACACAACUUUGUAGUUGGUUUGAGCUACAAACCAACCACAAUUUAGUUUAAACCAGAAUGUUGCAUGACUACACCAACUUCGGUUGGAUUUACUCCCUGGGAAUUACUUUUUUAGGAUUUCUUCCUUAGACUGAUCCAAACCCUAAGUACGCACAUUGUGCCAAAGUAUAAUUUGCUUAACCAUUGUUUGUUGAAUAAACCGUAGUUGGAUGGGUUCACGCCACACACAAAUUGAUCAAACUGUUCUGUAAGCUAAUUGGAUGUACAGUAUAAAUAUAGCAUUCACACAUGGAUUAAAAAAACCUAAAACUAGAGUUGGAAGCAACCAUUUAAACCAUUGAGGUCAACACUGAACAACUCCUAAAGUUUCUCAACACCAUCAGUUCAUA